rnacentral:sRNA from 1 species
UUUUGUAUUUUCAGUAGAGAUGGGGUUUCACCAUGUUGACCAGGCUGGUCUCAAACUCCUGACCUUAAGUGACGUGCCCGCCUCAGCCUCCCAAAGUGCUUGGAUUAUAGGUGUGAGCCACUGCACCGGACUUGCAAAGGACUUUAGGUCCAUUGUCCUUUCAUUCUUAGAUACCUCCUUCACUGAGACCUUUUCCUUACCUCACCUCCCUAGGUGGAACGGCACAUGUGUGAUGGGGACAUUGUUAUCUUCAACCGGCAGCCAACUCUGCACAAAAUGUCCAUGAUGGGGCAUCGGGUCCGCAUUCUCCCCUGGUCUACCUUUCGCUUGAAUCUUAGUGUGACAACUCCGUACAAUGCAGACUUUGACGGGGAUGAGAUGAACUUGCACCUGCCACAGUCUCUGGAGACGCGAGCAGAGAUCCAGGAGCUGGCCAUGGUUCCUCGCAUGAUUGUCACCCCCCAGAGCAAUCGGCCUGUCAUGGGUAUUGUGCAGGACACACUCACAGCAGUGCGCAAAUUCACCAAGAGAGACGUCUUCCUGGAGCGGGGUGAAGUGAUGAACCUCCUGAUGUUCCUGUCGACGUGGGACGGGAAGGUCCCACAGCCGGCCAUCCUAAAGCCCCGGCCCCUGUGGACAGGCAAGCAAAUCUUCUCCCUCAUCAUACCUGGUCACAUCAAUUGUAUCCGUACCCACAGCACC